GCCGGAAUAGCUCAGAGGUCAGAG
rnacentral:tRNA from 1 species